CUCAAGUCGAGCUCCAGGCCAGGGCCAUAUGAUGCGGAGAUAACAGCAAUUUGUGACGAAAACCGCCCAAGAUGAAAAUGAAGACAUUCAUACUUCUACUCCUACUUCAUGGAACCAUCAGUGAGUCUGCUUGGGUAGAACGUCAAGGAAUCAAGAUUAGUACACGACUCCAUAACCGAAUACACUUCAAAAGAGAAACACACGAAGGAACCACA